GAUGAACGCUGGCGGCGUGCCUAAUACAUGCAAGUCGAGCGAACGGACGAGAAGCUUGCUUCUCUGAUGUUAGCGGCGGACGGGUGAGUAAAACGUGGAUAACCUACCUAUAAGACUGGGAUAACUUCGGGAAACCGGAGCUAAUACCGGCUGAUAUUUGAAACCGCAGGGUUCAAAAGUGAAAGACGGUCUUGCUGUCACUUAUAGAUGGAUCCGCGCUGCAUUAGCUAGUUGGUAAGGUAACGGCUUACCAAGGCAACGAUGCAUAGCCGACCUGAGAGGGUGAUCGGCCACACUGGAACUGAGACACGGUCCAGACUCCUACGGGAGGCAGCAGUAGGGAAUCUUCCGCAAUGGGCGAAAGCCUGACGGAGCAACGCCGCGUGAGUGAUGAAGGUCUUCGGAUCGUAAAACUCUGUUAUUAGGGAAGAACAUAUGUGUAAGUAACUGUGCACAUCUUGACGGUACCUAAUCAGAAAGCCACGGCUAACUACGUG
rnacentral:rRNA from 1 species